CACAGAACCACAAGUUGGGUACAGAGGCAGUCACCCAAGAGCGGGUCCGGGAUAUUGGUCAGCAGGGAGGGCGAAUCGUUGUGCCUGCAAACCACAGGGUUUCGGAGGGUGGUAAGCAUCAUCAACCACAACCAAGCCGCUAUUUUUUUUUUUUAUUAUUUUUAUUUCUCUCCCCCCGCCCCCCCUCCUUCUUUUUAAGAAAGAAUUUCAGAGUUCUUUGAGUAAAAGUACCUCAGGAUCCGCUCCCGAGGCGCUGGGAUGGAGCCGAGCGAGAUGGCUGGGAGGAGGGUGGUGGCAAUGACCAAUCUUCAUUUUUCACUCCCCAAGGUGGAAGAACCCCUAAAUUCUCUCCCAGUGAAGAGAGAGUGAGUUUUAAAGAGGAAAGGAUGGCUUCAAACAGCAUAUUUGAGUCACUUCCUUCUUACCAGCACUUCUUGAGAGAGCACAAAUCCUGUUAAAGCUGGGGGAGAAAGAUCUCCUGGAAGCAGCUCUGUCAUCUGCCAGAUGAUUUGUGGCUUCCUGCAGGACAUCUGGGAUUGGCCGUGGAG
rnacentral:lncRNA from 1 species